rnacentral:rRNA from 1 species
AUUGAACGCUAGCGGCAUGCUUUACACAUGCAAGUCGAACGGGUGGCGGACGGGUGAGUAAUAUAUCGGCACGUGCCCAGUAGCGGGGGAUAACUACUCGAAAGAGUGGCUAAUACCGCAUAAUAUUGGAUCGGCCGAUAUCGGAUUAGCUAGUUGGUGGGGUAAAGGCUCACAAAGGCAACGAUCCGUAGCUGGUUUGAGAGGACGACCAGCCACACUGGGACUGAGACACGGCCCAGACUCCUACGGGAGGCAGCAGUGGGGAAUUUUGGACAAUGGGGGAAAGCCUGAUCCAGCAAUCCCGCGUGUAUGAGAAGGCCUUCGGGUUGUAAAGUACUGUUGGCAGAGAAGCGGUAUCUGCAGAAUAAGCACCGGCUAACUACGUGCCAGCAGCCGCGGUAAUUC